AUGUGGGAGAGUAAUUACAGAUCACAGAAGUAGCCUAGCACCUGAAACUGUUGAGGCAUUGAUGUGUUAUGGUGAUUGGAUUAGAUCUCGCAAACCUACAAAUGCUGGACAGGAAAACCGCUGUGAAGAACAAAGAGUGGUGGAUCAUCUUGUCUCUGGUACCUGAUGUGCCAGAUGUUAACUGAUAUGUACCUGAGGGAGGCGGAGAUGCGGGAAGUGAGCGAGAAAACGAAUUCUAGGGUUGCCUGGUUCAGCAUCUUGUCACUGGGUGUGUGCGUUCUGAAUCUGUCGAACUUCACUACUUCUAAUUCAUCCGGAUGUUUAACAGGGCAUUGUGAAGCUUACUUCUUUCAGUAAAUUUUCCAUGACCUGAUAAUAUUGUGUACUCAUUUUAAAAGAGAUGCUCAUGUGUUUGAGAGGCAUUCUCCUGUCAUUUCUGUUUGUGUUGUUUUGAGAUACUCUGAAUUUAAUGGGACAUUUUCCUGUCAUUUCCAUUUGUA